rnacentral:rRNA from 1 species
UACGGGGGGGGCAAGCGUUGUUCGGAAUUACUGGGCGUAAAGGGCUCGUAGGCGGCCAACUAAGUCAGACGUGAAAUCCCUCGGCUUAACCGGGGAACUGCGUCUGAUACUGGAUGGCUUGAGUUUGGGAGAGGGAUGCGGAAUUCCAGGUGUAGCGGUGAAAUGCGUAGAUAUCUGGAGGAACACCGGUGGCGAAGGCGGCAUCCUGGACCAACACUGACGCUGAGGAGCGAAAGCCAGGGGAGCAGACGGG